rnacentral:rRNA from 1 species
UACAGAGGUCUCAAGCGUUGUUCGGAUUCAUUGGGCGUAAAGGGUGCGUAGGCGGCGCGGUAAGUCGGGUGUGAAAUCUCGGAGCUUAACUCCGAAACUGCAUUCGAUACUGCCGUGCUUGAGGACUGGAGAGGAGACUGGAAUUUACGGUGUAGCGGUGAUAUGCGUAGAUAUCGUAAGGAAGACCAGUGGCGAAGGCGGGUCUCUGGACAGUUCCUGACGCUGAGGCACGAAGGUCAGGGGAGCAAACGGG